rnacentral:rRNA from 1 species
UACCAGCACCCCGAGUGGUCGGGACGUUUAUUGGGCCUAAAGCAUCCGUAGCCGGUUCUACAAGUCUUCCGUUAAAUCCACCUGCUCAACAGAUGGGCUGCGGAAGAUACUAUGGAGCUAGGAGGCGGGAGAGGCAAGCGGUACUCGAUGGGUAGGGGUAAAAUCCGUUGAUCCAUUGAAGACCACCAGUGGCGAAGGCGGCUUGCCAGAACGCGCUCGACGGUGAGGGAUGAAAGCUGGGGGAGCAACCACGG